rnacentral:rRNA from 1 species
GAUGAACGCUGGCGGCGUGCUUAACACAUGCAAGUCGAACGGAGUUUAGAUGAAAGCUUGCUUUUGACUAAACUUAGUGGCGGACGGGUGAGUAACGCGUGGGUAACCUGCCUUAUCCAGGGGGAUAACAGUGAGAAAUUACUGCUAAUACCGCAUAAGCGCACAGUAUCGCAUGAUACAGUGUGAAAAGAUUUAUCGGGAUAAGAUGGACCCGCGUCUGAUUAGCUGGUUGGUGAGGUAACGGCCCACCAAGGCGACGAUCAGUAGCCGGCCUGAGAGGGUGAACGGCCACAUUGGGACUGAGACACGGCCCAAACUCC